UAAGUCCACGAGAAGCUCUCGGUAUCUAUAACAACCUCACCAAAAUUGCUUUUGACUCUCUCAACAACCCUCACCUGAUCCCAAGUGUGGGUCUUCCCUGUCCCAGCAAAUGCCUGAAAGACCAACCCCUCCACACCCGCACCCCCAUGUUCGAAGCCAAAAGCCAACAGUGCAAUUAAAGUCCACCCAGGCGUGGGCUGUCGAAGUGUUCCUGGCAGAAACGCCGCUUAAUUGUCUUCAGCCUCACACACCUAAGCCGCCGCCGCCGCCGCCGCCGCCGCCGAGGGGCCGAGGAGACUGGGUAAUGAAUCCCGGAGGGCCCGGCGGCGGGCCUCCCGCUUUCAGAAGAGCGGGGAAAAACAGCACGGACCGGCAGAGCUCUGAGUGACAGCUGGAGCACCCCCUCCUCCCUUCCCACCCCCCUCUCCCCCCUCUCCCCCUAACCCACCGGGGGACUCACCCACCUCAGGUAACUCCCCCCCGUGAAGCCUGCAGACUGACUCGCUAAUGUAGCGCCGCUGUCAAGCCAGUGGGGGAGGCGUCCUGAGUUCUGUGGUGGGCGGAGCUUUCGCGUGCUGUCAAUCACCCGCUCGUAUGAAAGGGUCUAAUGGCUUCACGUUCCUUCAGAGAAGCAGUGUGAGAUCACAAGAUCACAAACGCUGAAAAACCGUGGACAUCGUAGGCCCGAAUCCACGGUUUCUACAGGAUCUGGCUGAAAUGUCUGUGUAGCAGCGUCCGUUCAUCAAUUUGACAACUGACAGGACAGUUGGUGUAAUUGGACGUAGAAAUAAAGAUUUCUCAGUCACACAA